AAAGAGGUGGAAGGCCCCAGCGAGAUUUGAACUCGCGACCCCUGGUUUACAAGACCAGUGCUCUAACCCCUGAGCUAUGGAGCCUUUUCCUUCCCAAUACUUCUCUACCUCUGAUCUUAUACAAGCAUAUAGUAAAGCCAGCAUCUGGGAAGCAUUAAAUAGAACUUGUUUGACCCGAGCAAAAAUCCAAGAUAUUCUCCCACAAAAUUAGAUUUUCUUCAUGUUCUGUCAACGCUUCUAAAAGACUCCGUUUUGAGUACAGCCACUACCAGGCUGUCUUGUCGUCUCUCAUCUUGAUGCUCUCCUGGGACAUUGCCUCCUGUGCCUCUGGUGCCCAGAAAGGAUGCAGAUACAGGAAUUCCAGACGUUUGGGCACACGGGAGACCCACCUGAGAAAUAAGAGGCGCAUAGAGAGGGUGUCUGAUGGACAGAUUACACACUCCGUUCACUUGCUAUUGUGGUAAAAUCUGGGGAAGGUGAAAAGAGAUUUACCACGGUUUUGUCCUUUCUGAAUCCAGAGCCCCAAACCUGAACUUUGUAUUUUGGAAUUAAUGCCUCCCUCACAAAGGUUGAGGGGUAGGAUCAAGUAGGGAAAAAGGGUAAUGGGGAGAAAGAGUUUAAUCCUUCUUUAAAGACAUAUACAGAUUUAUAUACAUCUUUGAUAUGAAAAUAAUAUAGUUUUUAAAAAAGGAUUUUCACGUUUUGAAAACCUUGUUUAUAUAACUAGUAAACAGGAACUAAAAAUUGAUUAAGAAAGAUCUUGUACUUUUUUCUUACUGCAAAUACAAUCAUAGAUGAGAACACUGGGGAAAAAAGCGCUCCUUCAUGCAACCCCAAGGAGUGAACCAAUUCUGUUUAGUAAGAUUUAGACUCUCUGCCCACCUGCUCUUGUACCCACUAUUUUUUAACGUUUUCAUUUGUCCACGAUCUUAAAGUUUAUCAGAAAUCUGUAAGCCUGUGAUUCAUUGUGUUCGAGUAGGCGGUUAGUUAGGUUCUAACAGAAUGCCUGGGAGGUCGGCAAAGAUGAAAUCAUGGCCAGCUGUCAGUCAGAGGCCUGUCCCUGCAGGGGGGCCACCAAACCUCUGGGGCCCAAGAUGGUGGAGGCCAAGACAGGA